CUACGUCUCAGAGGGCGCUCUAACGAACCCAGGAUAAGGUCUCUUCCUAGUCCGCUCCGGAAAUACGACUGCGUACGCGCUGGACACGCAGUCGUGACGUCAGCGCGCCCGCGCCGGCUGGCCGGACGCCCUAGGCUUCCGCGAGAUCUUUGGUGGGGGCUCGGUUGCUUUACGCCACGGCACUGCUACGUUUGGGUUGUUUCCUGCAGGCUGUCUGGACCUGGUUACGAUUCCACAAUGUACCACAACAGUAGCCAGAAGCGGCACUGGACUUUCUCCAGUGAGGAGCAGCUGGCAAGACUGCGGGCCGACGCCAACCGCAAAUUCAGAUGCAAAGCGGUGGCCAACGGGAAGGUUCUUCCGAAUGAUCCAGUCUUUCUUGAGCCUCAUGAAGAAAUGACACUCUGCAAAUACUAUGAGAAAAGGUUAUUGGAAUUCUGUUCGGUGUUUAAGCCAGCAAUGCCAAGGUCUGUUGUGGGUACAGCUUGUAUGUAUUUCAAACGUUUUUAUCUUAAUAACUCAGUAAUGGAAUAUCACCCCAGGAUAAUAAUGCUCACUUGUGCAUUUUUGGCCUGCAAAGUAGAUGAAUUCAAUGUAUCUAGUCCUCAGUUUGUUGGAAACCUUCGGGAGAGUCCUCUUGGACAGGAGAAGGCACUUGAACAGAUACUGGAAUAUGAACUACUUCUUAUACAGCAACUUAAUUUCCACCUUAUUGUCCACAAUCCUUACAGACCAUUUGAGGGCUUUCUCAUCGACUUAAAGACCCGCUACCCCAUAUUGGAGAAUCCAGAGAUUCUGAGGAAAACAGCUGAUGACUUUCUUAAUAGAAUUGCAUUGACGGAUGCCUACCUUUUAUACACACCUUCCCAAAUUGCCCUGACUGCCAUUUUAUCUAGUGCCUCCAGGGCUGGAAUUACUAUGGAAAGUUAUUUAUCAGAGAGUCUGAUGCUGAGAGAGAACAGAACUUGCCUGUCACAGUUACUAGAUAUAAUGAAAAGCAUGAGAAACUUAGUAAAAAAGUAUGAACCACCCAGAUCUGAAGAAGUUGCUGUUCUGAAACAGAAGUUGGAGCGAUGUCAUUCUGCUGAGCUUGCACUUAAUGUAAUCACGAAGAAGAGGAAAGGCUAUGAAGAUGAUGAUUACGUCUCAAAGAAAUCCAAACAUGAGGAGGUAUGUUUUACUCCAAAGAUGAACUCUAAGUCAUUUUUGUUACACAUUCUGGUGUGAUUAUACUAUUAAGAUUUGUUCUCCAAGAGUAUAAGCAUUAUAGAGUUGUGGGUUUUUUCAUUUUUUGCAUACUUCCUUACGUACAGUACUGUUGUCCAUUAUUAAAGGGAUUUUUCUCUCUUCUGUCUUUGCUUGAUGAAAAAUCCUUCUUGUGUUCAUAGAAAGCAGAAGCAAUAUGCAUACAUACUACAUUUUUGCUUUAUUUCUUAUUUUCCAAGGAUUUUUCCCUUACCCCCUUUUAAAAACAAAUUUUCUGUCAAGUCAGGUAAGUGAAUAAUCAGAGGCAGAAGGUCACAGUUGUAACCUUUAUUCCUCAUUGGAGUAGUCUGGUGAGACCAUGCCAACAUUACUAACAGUGAACUAUUACAAAAUUUCCUGGUUUAUCUUUUGUAAUCCACAUGGGUAAAAGGAGAACAUUUUCCUAAAGGGAGGUAAGAGGUAAACAAUACUGGUUAUGCUUCAGUGUUAUCCUUACCACACUUUUUUUCCUUCUUAGGAAGAAUGGACUGACGACGACCUGGUAGAAUCUCUCUAACCAUUUGAAGUUGAUUUCUCAAUGCUAACUAAUCAAGAGAAGUAGGAAGCAUAUCAAGCGUUUAACUUUAUUUAAAAAGUGUAAUGUGAAAACAAAAUAUAUUAAAACUUUUCUAUUACUUUCUUUCCCUUUCACAGUAACUUUAUGUAAAAUAAACCAUCUUCAAAAGAGCUAGAAUAGCACCUGUUUUGAAUAUUCUUAUUCCAUCAUGACUAAUAUAAAAUUAAAGCUGCAACUUACUUGCCUAAUUUUUUAAGCAAAAUAUGAUAGGCAAACCUAUGCUUUUUUAAGAAAAAGGCACCACAAAAACCAAAACUUAGUAGCUAGCUUUAAAAGUGUUAAGGAAUGUGUUUUGCCCUCUAGAAACCUUUAUAAAUGGCUUUUUGAAUGCCAUCCUGAUACAUUUAGCUAUUUGUCCACUACUAUUAAACUGCAGAAGGUAUUUCAACUAUUACAUGGUACUGAAAGCCAGUUGUCUGGGUAAUGAAUAUUAUUUGUUUUCUUUACUUACCCAAAAACAUUUCCAAAUGGGUUUUUUUUAAAAAAACAAAUAUAUGAUUUUGAAUAGCUGUCUACAUCAAACUCUUAGGCUAGUAUAGAUAAGUAGGCAGAAGCCACUUGUAUAUUCAGUUACGGUUUUUUAAUUUUGUUUUGAUGUAGGGUCUUGCUGUGUUGCCCAGGCUGUCUCAAACUCCUAGGCGCUAGUGAUCCUCUGCCUCAGUUUCCUGAGUAAUUGGGACUGCAGGCAUACGUCACCACAGCCUUUAAUUAACUUAUUAGAUCACCUAUAAGUGAAUCCGUGUAAGUAGAUUAUAACAGUUACUAGGAAUUGUGCAGACCAAAUAUGUUCGAAAAAUGUAAUUCAAAUUGAAAUGAGUCAAUUUAAAAAUAUAAAAGCACAGACUAUUACAACAAAUUACUUAGAUAUGAAUCAUGGCUGCCUCUGUUUCACUGUGACCUUGGUAAGUUAUUAAAUCUCUAACUGCCAGUUUCCCACACUGAAAAUGGGGAAAAUAAUAAUGCCCACUCUUUAUAGGAUUAAUUAGAACAGUACCUGCAUACACUUAAGUAUUCAGUAAUUGCUAACUGUUAUAAUUGGAACCGAACUGUGGCUGGCUGUAUAUCAAGCCAGAAUUCUUUUCAGGAAAACUGGCUUGAAGGAAUUCCGAGUAAUUCAAGUGUCCUAAAUCUAAUUAAAUUGCACAGAUACACACACCUCCUCAGUCUCAGUACAUCCCAGGCUGUACUUUCCAGAAAGGUAAGUACCAUUAUAAUUACAUCUGCUUUAAGGCAAUGCUUACUAUGUGCAUAUUCAUCUCUCUAACAAUUCUUCAAACUGUAGGCUUGAGUUUUGUGGGGUGUUUUUUUGUUUUGUUUUGUUUUGUUUUUUCCCUCAUUCUGGAGUGAAAGGAAUAAAAUUCAUGAUGUGAGAUUUUACAAAAGCAGAGUGGAAGAAGCCAAAAGUUAUAAAUCCUCCAUCGUGGUCCUAGUUAAGUACAUUGCUUCUAGGCUCUAGACAGAAUUACAAGAUGUUCACAGUUUUUCUCAUUUUCCCUUUCAGAUCGCCAAACUUUGGCAUCAGAGCAAGGUCCACACUUAUCACUGAAAAUUUUCCCACCCAGCCCCAUUAAAAAAGUUAAAGUGUGAGAGAUUGUAUUUCAACACUGACAAGCUAGUUACUACAGGGCCCACAAAGAAAAGAAGACUUUCCAGUCUAUUAUUUAACCUGGUCAGAACUGUGUCAUCGUCUUGCUUCAAGCCCCACAUAGUAGCAGCAAAGUAAAAAAGCUAAGGAGGCAACAAAAUGUCAUGGCAGUCAGAUGUGAUAGCUUUAAAAGGAUAUGAAAAACAAGACGGACCCUAAAAAAUGAUGGAAGUAGUCUAAAAGCCACAAUAAUGUAUGCUUUGGUUUAAGAAUAAAUAGUUUUAAUUACAAACAAAAA